GUCUCAACCUUCCCACUUAUCAACAUUCACUUAUUUGAGUUGAUUAACCUAUUGUAUUUGUCCAGUCUCUCUCUUAGUGACAAAAACCCAACUCAAGCUUAAGAAAAAAGGGGGAGAACUGUUGAGCUCUGGCAAUUUAUAAAAGACUGAGGUUUCUGGUCACAGUGAAGGGUGGACCCAGAGACUCAACGCCAUCAGAACUUGGACUCUGCACGUCAGACCAGCUUGUCUCUGUGCUGGUUUCGUUCUCAGCAGUCAUUUCUACAAUGUGGAAAGGAGGCUGCUGGCCAUCCCAAGUGUGUUGGAGUAAUACCAAAUCAUGGCUAUGAAUAUUAAACUCCCAAAGAGCUGUACCUAUCAAGUCGUCCUCAAAGUGGUCCUUGCUAGAGACUGUGUUGUGCAUAAUUUAAUCUUGGGGUCCUGGGAAGAUGAUGAGAAAUCAAGGAAAAAAGUGAUUUCAGUGCACCUGAUCCCGAUAACAUUAUUCCAUUUUACCAUUGAGGAAAUUGUGACAUAGUGGGAUAAAAGUGCUCCACUAAAGUUAUAUAGUUAGUGUCAAAAAUUUAGGCUUCUGGACUUCUGUUUCUUAUGUAUUUCUAUCACUUCUAUUGCAUCACUGCCCAACAGAGUUUUCUGUGAUCAUGGCAAUGAUAAAAUAUUGAUGCUGUUCAAUAUGUAGUCACUAG
rnacentral:lncRNA from 1 species